UGUGAUGUGAACACCUCAUAUACAUAUAUUUUUCAUCCAACACCAAUGCCUCAUUGCCAAGCAAAUUGAACUCCCUUUGAAACCGCUUUUGAGCAUAUGUGUAAGUAGUAGUAUUAUACUGUAAUGCUGAAUACCUUCUAUAUUCCCCAUUUGGCCAUACAAUCAAGAAGAACAAUAGCAAUUGUCUAGCCUUUAUGAUCACAUACAUGCUUAAACCCAAUUAUCAGCUUCCUUAAAUGCCUAUUCACAUCAACAAAAUGCACUGUAACCACUAUGUAGCUCGUUCUUGUAGUUUGUGCCACUCAAAUGUCUGUUGUAAGUGAAAUCCUCUAAUUACAAACAUUAAACCACUCCCUCAAAC
rnacentral:lncRNA from 1 species